rnacentral:lncRNA from 1 species
CCACUUCUCGUCAAACUGAGUAUAGAAGUUGAAGGACCUAAAGUAUAUGACAUGGUCCACUUCUCACUCCAACUUCCACCGCGUGUUAUCUUAAACUCUCUUUCUGACAAGUGAAUGAAACCAUCUCUUCCCAACUGAUGAUGAAAAGGUUCAUCCUCCCCCACCCCAACAUCAUUGAGAAGACCAACUGUGCGAAUACUGUUUCCCAUCUAAAGGCAAGAAAUUAAGAAUGGAAUUAAAGGAGUAUAUCUGUGGGAUGAUGAAGUUGGAGAGAUGAUGGUAUAUAAAUAUGUAGGGUUAGUGUAUGGGAUAGAGUAUGAGGAAGUGAGUUCCCAGUUAAUGAAUGUGGGUAGUGAGGUAGGUUUUCUCUGCUAUGCUUGGUUGGGAUGUUAAUGGGGAUAUUUAUUAACUCUUUAGUGUGUAGAGUAUAGAAUCUUUCCACCUUAUAUGCAAACCAAGCUUUGUUCUAACGCUCAAUAAUUCAAUUUCACAGCAUCUAAUUCCCUAUCAUGUGUUUCUAUCGCACUUCCAUCUUUAUCUUCUUCACUCAUUAUGCUCAAUUUUACUUUGUUCGAUUCUUUAACUUUAUUAUUUUAACAUAUGGGUAGAUAAUUUUGAUUCUGGCUUUUAUCUUGUACAAUGUUCCAGGUACUAUGUAAACGCCGCUUGGGAAGCGUUUGGGUUGUUUUUCAGCAAAUAGCAAUGAAAUUAAAUGGGACGUCCAAUCCUUAUACAGUAAAAUGAUGAUGUUCACAUAGUACCUUUCCAACUACAUAUGAGCCAACAAGACCUCCUACUAAUCAUUGGCGAGAUUUGGAAUAGUUACAAUUUUUAAGGGCGGAACGAAUAUCAUUCUGAGAUAUUUUCUUUAACUCGAUUAAAGGUUUUGUAUUAGAAGGGUAUAUGGAUGGUAGUUGUGAGGGUUAUCAGGGAACAAAGGAACUCAGUCAUCUUUAAGCAAGGGAAAUCGGAUGCAGAAGAUAUUUUUCUUUUAACACAACUGACAGCUUCGUUUUGGUUGAAACACAGGGUACAGUCAUUCAUAUACUCGUUCUCAGAUUGGCAUCUGAAUCCGGAUUAAUAUAUUAAAAGCUAUAAAUAACUUAGUAUGGUUGUAACAUGCUGGAAUUGGGCUCAUGGGGGGCUGCCGGUAUUGAAUCCCUGUCCAGGUUCUUGGUUUAAAUAGUCGUCCACACUCUCAAGAUGCAGGACUUUCUGGUGCACUAUUCAGGGGAUUUGCUUUGGACGUCUUCCUGUACAAUUCUUUGCAUUUAGAAGUGCAUGUAAUCUGUGUUUUCUGAUGCUUUUAAGCAGGUUUUCACGCCAAGUCUGUUCUGUUUUUGGAGCUUUCUUCAAUGGAUGCUGGUUCGUCUUUUUCCUGGUCUUUGGUGCUUUUUUCUCAUAGCUGUAGCAGGCUUACAUCAUUCUCAGGAUGCCAUCUACUGUUCCUUGUGACUUUGUAAUUUGCUUGUGCUGCUGGUUUUUCUUUCUGUUAUAGGCUGUUUUGCAUAUUAAUAUCUCUUUUCAGCAGUACCCUGUAGCAGUUUUUGUAUCCCUUCCUCUAUGGGGGGUAUAGGGUGUUGUCAUAUUGGAUCUAGGCAUGCCUUGGUUGUUAAAAUUGAAGUUUUAAGACUCCAACAGCCUGUCUUUUGUGUUCUGAUGCAGGAGGAAUGUGUUUUCUGUUUUAUUGGAAAACUUGGAAGACUCAUUAUGAUGCAAAGGUUUUUGCAGCUUUGGAGGGAAUGGCAAGAAUUGGUCAAUCUGUGUUUUGCUGUUGUUGGUGUUUUAGUUUAAAGAAGUUGUUGUUUUGAGAAUAUGUUCUUCUUGGCUUACCACCUAAAAUAGAUUGUUUUGUAAACGGAUUGACAUAUUUCUCAAGUAUUUUUUUUUAAUUAAUUAAUUUUUUGUUGAUAAAAAAAGAGUUUUUUUAUUAGAUUACUUCUUAUUUUUUUAUCUUGUUUUUUUUAUUGGUAUCUUGAUCCGUUAACGUGUUUGAUGUCGAUUUAAAGUUUAUGUUAGUUUUUUUUUUUUUGUGUUUGAAGGUUUGGUGGUAUUAUGUUUAAGUGUUUUUGUUGAUUUUGUGUUGGAUGGUUCUUGCAAGGUUAUUAGAUCUUUCUUUAAAGUAGUGAAUUGGUAUAUAUCUAUACCGAUUGAAUCAUUUCUUAAAUGAUUAUUUAUUUAUUUUUUCCAAUAAAAAUAAAUAUUGGAACACUUUGUAAUAUUGUUUGAGUUUCUUGGGCUACACAGGAGUGUGACGAAGUAAAAGUAACUAUUGUGAAUGUUUAUAGCUCAGGUUCUUUAAAGGAAAAAAAACGAGUUGGGAUGAGAUUAAUGCUCAUAGAGCGUGUCAGUUAAACAGGAUCUGGUGUGUAGUAGGGGACUUCAACUCAAUCAGAACAAAGGAGGAGAGGAAAAGUUUGACUAUGGGCUUGAAUUAUAAUAGAGAAAUGCGGGAUUUUAAUGAGUUUAUUGGAAAGGCUGAAUUAAUGGACAUUCCGAUGGUUGGUCAAAAAUUCACUUGGUAUAAACCGAAUGGUACUGCUAAAAAUAGAAUUGAUAGAGUCCUUGUCUCUAAGGAAUGGAUGGAGGAGUGGCCGAACAGUAAGCAGUUCGUACUUAGUAGAUCAGUUUCAGAUCACUGUGCUUUGGUAAUUAAAGAUUCCUGUCCAGAUUGGGGUCCGAAACCUUUUCGCAGUCUGGAUGUCUGGCAAAAAGACAACAAGUUCAGGGAGUUUGUUCGAAGUAAAUGGCUUAGUUAUGAAGUUUCCAGUAGGGAUUUGUUUGUGUUCAAAGAAAAAUUGAAGAAGCUAAAAUCCGAUUUAAAAGUAUGGAACAGAGACGUGUUCAGAGAUGUUAAUCUGAAAGGGGAGAUUUUAAAAAAGAAAAUUGAGGAUUUUGAUGCUCGAGCUAAAUCCAAACAAACCAACCUAUUUUGCACUAAAAAACAAAUGACGACAAGAUUCAUCUUCCACCCCACACAAACUACACAAAAGACUUUCGAUCAAAAUCCAUCUCCUUUUCAAAUUGGCUUUAGUAGCAAUCUUAUUUACCAACACCCUGUAAGCUUAAUAAAAAGUUAAUUUGGUAUUUUAGAGUGUUUAACCGUUAGAUUUAUCACAAAUCUCUCAUUUUGUAUGAAUCAAUUUCUUUAAGUUUGUAGUACAAGUAAGAAUUUACAUUCCCAAAAUAUAUGCAAAUCUCUUAGAAAAUAUACUUUGACUUUCCUUUUUACUACUUAUUAUUUGGUACAAUUACCAAAUAGUUAUAGCAUCAUUAUAGUUUUUUUUUCUAUCCGAAAAAAUCAAUUGGGACACUUUAAGAAUGUUCCAAAGCUCAACUUUAAAGAUACAAACCAAAAUCAACAAAAUAACAUCAUUAGAGUUUUUUUUUAAUCAGUAAAAUAUUAAUUAAAUUAAAGAAAAUCAUUUUAUUGGUGUCUCAAUCCGUAUACAAAACCUAAAUCUGUACCAGAUAAAUGCUUCAGAUAACUCCUACAUUCCUAACAGCAAAGCCCAAACCAGCCUAGCCUAGCUUUGAGCAAUAUCAGACCAAUAGCUGAUCCAAAUUUCCCUUACAGAAGGCAAAAACAAAAAACCAGCAACCAAACUUGUAAUUGCUCCAAACUUGCAAAUGAUCCUGCAUAAAACCAGCAAUCUCCCAGACUCCAACAGAAAAAACAACAUCAUUAGAGUGAUCACCAGGAAGUCAGUAGUGAUGCGGUGUUUGGAGAGAAUAAGGUGAUUAGGAUGGUUGAGGAAGGGAGUGAAGAAUGGUGGCAGGCAUGGAAAUGAUACUUAUUGGACAUAAACUAUUCUUGCUUUUGUAUGCCUUAAGAGAAGCUUCUACAAAUCUGAUGAGGUGCACAAUCAUGUAGCAAUGAAGAGGAAGGGAUGCCAAAUUACUCUCAAUUGCUAAAUUUUCUGAGAAAGGAUAGCGUGCUUGGUGAUUGGAGGUGGAACAAAGUCUGAGAAAGCUACAGCAUUUGACAAAUGAUAGUAUGCAGCUUGGUGCCAUAAGUUUUGCUACUGAGUGAUGCAGUACAGUACAACAAACUUUGGUGCUCAAGGUUCUUUGUAGUUGAUCUUUCUAUUGAGGAAACCAAAGCUCGAUUCGAGUAAUUAGGCUUUGGUUUUGCUUUUGGUAAAAGGGUUUAAGUGUACCAAUAAAAAAUAAUAUUAGAGUGAUCACCAACAAUAAUGAAAAUAAAUGUCGUAGUAAAAAAUCAAGCAUAAUAAAUAUAAAUAUCUAUAAAAAAAAUAUUAAAUAUUUAAAAUUUUCAAUCAUGAUAACUAUUUAAUAAAUUAAAAUUCGAGAAAAUCAAGAUUUUAAGUAAAAUCUUAUAUUAAAAUUUAUUCAUUUAUAUGACUAAGGAUCUUCCACACAGUUAUCUUAGAUACAUGAUACUUGUUAUAUGAGAGAGCCACAGAGAUAACAUAUUCUCUUCUCACAUAAAAAUUAUAAACUCUCUUUAAUGAUAAAAAAAGAUCCAUACUUCAAAUAUCAACUCGAAGUUUUCCAGAAUUGGAAUCUAAAAAGGUAAAAAUAUAAAUUUUCUAUGUAAUUAGCAUUACAGUUGCCAUGGAAAAAUCCAGAAUUUCUUAAAUUUCUCUGGCAGCCACCGUGACGACGUGCACUGUCGCUGUCAUCACUGUGAGUGCUACGUUGAUUCUGGGCAUUUGCGCAGUGUGGGCAUAGAGUAGGCUUCCAAAUCUUGGUUUUCAUGGUUUCCUGAAACAAGUAACGUAAUCCAAGAGCAGGGUGUUGCUCAGGCCCCUCCACCGUUACAUCCAAAUUUCCUUUGGUUGCUCGAAUCUUUACUACUACAGAAAGACCAAAAUCUGUUUCAGUUCUAGAACCAUCAAUAAUAGCAAAAUAGUGCGCCAGAGUCACUGCAUAAGGUCCUUCUUCCUUAUUCCUUUUCUUCAUUUCCAGAACUACAAGACUCCUUGUGUCUUCAGUCCUAAACAAACAAAAACAUGUCUCCGUGACGCUGCCUCCAGCACGAGUCUGCGUGCUUCGCUCAAUCGUUUUUGAUGUACCCCUUCCGCUGGCUUCGGCUACCCAGCGGGGAUUUACCAGAACAUCUGAUUCAGUAACUGUUUCCACCUCCAAGUCAUAACCAUAAUACGAGUCUGAUGUUGCACUGAAGAAUGGUAUGUGUAAACGCGUGGCACCUUCAUCUUUACCACUUCUCGUCAAACUGAGUAUAGAAGUUGAAAGACCUACAUUAUAUGACAUGGUCCACUUCUCACUCCAAAUUCCACUGCGUGUUACGCUAAACUCUUUUUCUGACAAGUUAAUGAAACCUCUUCCCAACUGAUAAUGGAAAGGUUCCUUCUGGCCAGCCUCAACAGUUCUGAGAAGACCAACUGUGCGAAUACUGUUUCCCAUCUAAAGGCAACAAAUUAAGAACACAAGAGAGUGUGUGUGGGAUGAUGAGUUUGGAGAGAUGAUGAUGUAGGGUUAGGUAGGUUUUGUGUGCUAUAUAUGCUUGGUUAAGGUGUUAAUGGGGGAUACUUAUUAACUCUUUAGUGUUGUUGAGUAGCAGUAUAUAGAAUCACGUUAUCUGCAAAAGGUUGCGUUAUUCUUCCGCAUGCUAAUUCAAUUUCACAGCAUCUAAUUCUGUGUUUCUAUCGCACUACGACCUGCAACUUCUUCCCUCAUUAUGUUGCUCUCUUUCAAUUUCUUCCAUUCUUUAACUCCAUCUUUUCAUUAAUUUUGAUUUAUUUUCUAUUAUUUUAGUGUGUAGAAUUCAGAAAAUAUGAAUUGAGAGUCAAAGGUAAAAGAUAAGACGAAUCUGUUUUAAUAAUCUGACUUUUUGUGGCUUGUUGAUUCUGAAGGGAGAACCAAGACUAAGUUGGAUAUCUCAAUCACGAAAGAGACACUAGAAGUUGGAAUUGGACACCAAUUGAAACUAAUAAUGUGUUGUGGGUAAACAGGAAGUCAAAGUUCUUUUUAAUUAAAAAAUUUAAAUUAAUUGAUUUUGGUACAUUUUAAUUAUAAGAUAGUUCAACCAUAUUUAUUAAAGUUAACUUUUUUUUUCUUGAAUUAUAAUAGCGUGUUAUUGAUUUUGUUUUUAUCAAUAAAGAAUUAAUAAAUUAAAAUAUGACACUUCAGGUUCUUCCAUUGAACUUAUUAUGUUUCGUUGGUUUCCAUGAGAUGAAGGUGGAAGACGAAGCAUUUGGUGGUGCAGUUGAUUGCUGGGUGCGCAUGGAAAGAAUAUAAAUAGAUAGAUCAUAGAUUCUUCCCACAGUUACAUGAAGGGAAGCGUUAAUCUUCAGCACAAUAAUUUAGAUUUGAAAUUUCAUAUUUUAUUUUUUUUUACAUUUUUUUUUCUUUGUACUAUAUCUUUUGGUUUAGGGUUUAUUGUUUAGGCUUUGUGUUUAAGGUUUCUAAGGCUUUAUUCAAUUUCUAAGGAUAAAAGUGCUUUGGUGUCACAUUCUAGGGUUUGGAUUAAUGACAAGUGGUCGUGGAAGUUGGAUUGGAGGCGUGCCCUAUUCGAGUGGAAAGAGGGUGAACUUACUUGCCUCUUGUUUUUGCUGGAGGAAAAAUCUAUUUCAUUAGGUUUUGUGAUCAGUGGGUUUGGAAGGUUGAUAAAUGUCUAAUUUUAGUAAUAUUUUAUAUUAAAAUAUACACACUUAUGAGGAUUUAUGAGUUUAUAGAUUUUUACAUUUUGUAUGAGUUUUAUUUGAACAAGAGUCUUUUAUUCCAAAUUUAGUGUUAAUUGCAGAUUUUUCAGGGAGGAAGAUUGAAGAUUUGGAGUAAAAGAGAAUAAUUUAUAUUGCGUCUUUUUAAUGUUUUAUCAGUUAGUCCAUUAGUGCGACACAUGAAGCGACCUAACCCUAGAAAAACAGAUUAUGAGGAUUUAUGAAUUUAUACAUUUUGUAUGAGUUUUAUUUGAAUAAGAGUCUUUUAUUCCCAAAUUUGGUGUUAAUUGCAGAUUUUUCAAGGAGGAGGAUUGAAGAUUUGGAGUAAAAGAGAAUAAUUUAUAUUGCGUCUUUUUAAUGUUUUAUCAGUUAGUCCAUUAGUGCGACACAUGAAGCGACCUAACCCUAGAAAAACAGAUUGAGAGGAAAACACCAUUGAGUGAAUUGUAACCCAAUUGGGAGAAUGAAAUGAGCUAGAAGUAUGCAUGGCUAAUUCUACCAUUUGAAAUUGAAAGUAAUUUGCUCUAACUCUUAUGUAUUGAAGUGAUAACAUAUAUAUUAAUAUUCAAUUAUUGAUUGAUUAUUGGUAUUGUUGUUUUACUUUUAAUUUUCCGUGACAAAUUGAGAAUCUUAAAUCUGACUCAGAGGUAAUUUUAGGGUUCAGACCUAAACAUCAAUACUUAACAUGACUUGAAAUGUUAAUUGUCAUUAACGUCAUUGUAAUUUGAUUUCUAAGUUGUUUUUAUAAAUAUGUGAGAGAUCGAUAUUUAGAGAACAUUCUUAAGAAUUCGAGUUCGAGAGAUCAAUAUAAAUGAAUUUUCUACGGGGGCAUAAAUUUCAAUCAAAGAACUUAAUAUUGACAUGCUAAUCAAAAUACAUGAGAGUGAGAGAGAUGAAACCUAAUCCCAAUUUUUCAACUUGAAGCAACUAAUUCUUUAUUUUGUUUUCUUAUUGAUCAUUACCAACACACUCAAUUCAACCCUCUUUUUAUUGUUCUGUUCUAUAUUUAACGAUUAUUAUACUUGAUAAUUCACUGUUCCUUGUGGGAUCGAUAUCUGUCCUUAGGAACAAUUAUUACUUUUGACAAGUGCGGUACACUUAUCAUAGAAAGUCAUUAAGUUUUUGACGCCUUACCGGAGAACAAGUAGUUUGAUUCGUUGGGUAUAGUUUCCUAAAUAUUGUGAAUAUUUUAAUUGUUUUAAUUUGUUUUUUAAUUUUGUGUUUAUAUUUGUUAAUGUUUUUAUUUGUUUUAAACAUAUUUUGUUUUUAAUUAGCUUGGAAAUCAGUGAAAUGAGAGGGGAAACACUUACUAGUGAGGAAUUAAGAGAGAAAUUCCUUAGUUUGAUUCUCAGUAAAGAAUAAAAAUUGUUUACCUUGGAAAUUGAAUAUAUUCUUAUACUGUCUUGGUUUGAAUUGAUAGGAAACACCAUAAAUUUUUGUUGAUUUAUCCUGUGCUCUUUUCAUGAAGUUGUCCUGAUAUCGAACUGCAAAUUUGAUUUCUAAGGAUUUUAGGGAGGAAUGAACUCUUAUUUUUUAGGAUUCAAUUACUUUGCUUGAGGGGAAGCAAGAUUCUAGGUUGGGGGAAAAUUGAUAAGUGCCAAUGUGUAGUAUUUAUAAUUGAGAAAAUUGAACACUUUGGAACUUAUUUGUUGCUUAAUUCAGAAAAUUACCCUAAUAUGAGAAUUAUUGAAUCCAAUUAUGUAUUUUGAACCAUGAAACAAAUGAAGAAAUUUAAUCUCAAUUUUUGUGUAAAUUUCAAAUGAAUAUGAAGCAUUAAAAGAAAGAAAGCAAAGACUUAAUUGGAUCACAAGAACGAGUAAAGAAGGAAAAUUUAAAGGAAGCAUGUUGCUCAAGCUAGAAGAUUUAGCUUAGUCCAGAUUAAAUUAAUGGUGCAAUUCUAAUCAAGCUCAGGCUAGAAUUGCUCGCCCAAGCUAAAACAACAUUGAAUGAUCUAGCUUAAGCUAGACUGGUUCGCUUAAGCNNNNNNNNNNNNNNNNNNNNNNNNNNNNNNNNNNNNNNNNNNNNNNNNNNNNNNNNNNNNNNNNNNNNNNNNNNNNNNNNNNNNNNNNNNNNNNNNNNNNNNNNNNNNNNNNNNNNNNNNNNNNNNNNNNNNNNNNNNNNNNNNNNNNNNNNNNNNNNNNNNNNNNNNNNNNNNNNNNNNNNNNNNNNNNNNNNNNNNNNNNNNNNNNNNNNNNNNNNNNNNNNNNNNNNNNNNNNNNNNNNNNNNNNNNNNNNNNNNNNNNNNNNNNNNNNNNNNNNUCGUGUUGACGAAAUCGACAAAAAGAGGGGCGAAGAAUAGAGGAUUUUGGAGAGAAGUUAGUGAGAGAAGAAGAAGAAAACUCUCUUCUUAGGAGAAGAAUUUGCUCAGAUAAGCUUUUCUUAUGCAAUCCAGAUCAAGAAUGAAGAUGGAAGAAGCUAUCAUGAAUAGUUAAGUGCUUUCAAACUUGGGAUUAAAUGUAAUCUACUAUGAUCAAAUGUAUUCUUGUGAUGUAUAUAUAUAUAUAUAUAUAUAUAUAUAUAUAAUAUUUCCUUUUCUAUUUGUUCUUAGUAUUUUCGUUUCAUGCUUAUUGCUUGAUUCUAUCCAAUCAAUAGAGUCUUGAUUUUGACCCUUAAAUUUAAGUGGAAAGUAUUUUUAGGGAUAUGAAAUAGACGAAGAUACUUGAUAACUUGUAAUGCUAGGAAUAAAUUUCAGGUUAUUAAUUGCAUCAUAAUCCUGUUCAUAAAGUUGGAUGAUUUGUUACAUAUAUGAGGAAUUAGAGUUUGAGAAAUCAUCUUAUGAAUUUCAUUAUUGAAAAAUAAAGUUGAAUGACUUUAAAUUAAGCAUCAAGAAUAACUAGUUUUGAGUAUUAUAUAUUGUAUUAUUCCAAAAUAUAGAUGACAGAGAUAGACACAAUUCAAUCCCAAAUAUUUUUAUCAAUAUUUGAUAAGUUUGUUUCGUUUCUUUUUGAAUCACAUCUUAAACAUUGAGUUAUUAUUGGUAAAAGUGUUAACUUGGUCAUGAAAAAGUGUUCAAAGUUGUUUUCUAUACUUAAUGAGUUUUAUUUCAUAACAUCUUGAUUAGAAUGUUCUAUGUGGAUUCGACAUUCGUACUUUAAAUAGUACUAUAUUACGGUUGAUUCAUUAUACUUGUUGAGAAAAAUCAACACUCAUCUUUAAAACACUCUCCACAUGUCCUUCUUUCCUAUUCCAUAGGAAAAUUUGUAAAGAAAAAAAUUAACACUUGACCCAAAACUUCUCUUCUUCACAUAGUGCCACUCUCUCUCUAUCUCCCUCUCCAUGGUUACAGUUUUCAACUAUUCUACAUAUGUAUAAAUAGUUGUUCUUAGAAGGGCAGAUGUGAAGGGAUGGGGUAAAAACAGAUGGUGGGUUUCUGAUAUAGAAUUCGUGAAAAAAAAGACAUCUAAUUAUUAAGAUAUGUUUCUACAUAAAAUCUAAAUAUUGUUCAGAUUACUUUUGGUGUCAUGAUCCUCAUGCAUACCUCAUUACCUCCCGCACUAAUCACAUAAAAGGAGGACUAUGGAUGAUAUUUUGACACCAUCAUAAACUUUACAUCAGAACCAACCAUGGGAAAUGAAUUAUCAGAACCAUUGAUCAAAUAAACUGUAGGAUAUCGUGUGCGGAAGCGUGAUAAUUUCAACCAAAGAUUAUGAGAAAUUAAAGUAACAAGUAAAGUGAGAAUGAUACCAGAAUUUUUAGGUGGAAAACCCCUUUAAAUAGAGGUAAAAAACCACCGGCGAGAGAGCCAAAACUUUCACUAUAAUGAUACUGGAAGUACAAUGAAUUCCUCUCAGGCUAAUAGAUAAAUAGCCCUAAAACAAAUCCUCUCUAUAUGGGUUAAACACUUACACCCAAGAACAGAAAGAGAGAGGAAGCAAGUAUGUGUUGCUUGUAUGUGUUGCUUGUUUGUAGUGUGUUACAUUGCUUGAAGGAAGCCACUGUAUAUAGUGGUUCUAGGAGACAACAAUAAUAAAUACAAUUAAUGGUAAUUAACCUCUCAUUGAUUGCAAUUGAUUGCGGGAAUUAAUCUCCAAUUGAUUGCAAUUGAUUGUGGCAAUUCAUCUCCCAUUGAUUGCAAUUGAUUGCGAAUAUUAAUCUGCGAUUGCAAUUGUUUGGGGGUCAUAACAAUAUGAUGGGAAAAAAAAGCAUUACCACUAAAGGGAAACUCAUCGCAGGUUUUGUCGUUGUUGAUUACGGCACAGUGUAGGCAUAAAUUAGGCUUCCAAAUCUUGACUCUCAUGACUGUUUUAAACAUGAAACGUAAUCCAGCAGAACUGUGUUCGUCAGGGCCCUCGACCGUUAUAUCCAAAUUGCCAUUGGUUGCUCCAAUCUUUACUAUUACAGAAAGACCAACUUCUCUUCUAUUUCUAGAAAUAUGAUCAAUACAGCCACUGUAAGCAAAAUAGUGUGCGAGAGUCACUGCAUGAGGUUCCUCUUUUCCAAAACAGUAAGACCUCUUAUGUCUUCUGUUCCAAACAAAUACAAAUCUGUCUCCGUAAUUCUUCCUUCAUGAAUCUGCUUGCCAUGCUCAAAAGUUGCUGGUGAACAACUUGCUACGACGUGGUUCGACGAGCGGGUACGUACCAGAGCAUCUGAAUUAGGAACUGUUUCUACGUCCAACUCAUAACCAUACCGUGAAAAUUUUCCAUUUUGUUCUGGUAUUACACUUAAGAGUUUUAUGAAUAAACCCGUGGCACCUUUACCUUUACCACUUCUCGUAAAACUUAGUAUAGAAGUUGAAGGACCUAAAGUAUAUGACAUGGUCCACUUCUCACUCCAACUUUCACCGCGUGUUAUCUUAAGCUCUCUUUCUGACAAGUGAAUGAAACCAUCUCUUCCCAACUGAUGAUGAAAAGGUACUCCGUGCCUCACCCCAGGAGCAUUGAGAAGACCAACUGUGCGAAUACUGUUUCCCAUCUAAAGGCAAGAAAUUAAGAAUGGAAUUAAAGGAGUAUAUCUGUGGGAUGAUGAAGUUGGAGAGAUGAUGGUAUAUAAAUAUGUAGGGUUAGUGUAUGGGACAGAGUAUGGAGAACUCAGUUUUUUUUUUUAUCACCAAUCAAGUAAUAUAGAAUCACUUGAUCCAACCCAUUUACCUUAGACAAAGAUAAUCUGUUAAAAAUCAUCAUAACUUAACCUCAAAACGUCUUUCACAUAAAUGCUAAAAAAUUAUCUUGUCAUAAAACAAACACAGCACAAUUAAUAAUAAUAAAGACAAACUAAAAGAUCAAUACACUAGUCAGAAAAAAACAGAAGAAUAUUUAAUAGAUAUACAAGAACAAACCUUCAAUUGAACCAUAGAGAAAAUCUUGAAAUAAUUUAUAACUCCGCCUUUAAAAAAUAAUCCUAUUACUCGGUUUCCAGUUAGUAUAUGUGGGUACCGAGGUAGGUAGGUUUUCUCUGCUAUGCUUGGUUGGGAUGUUA